AACAUAAUAUGUUUUUCAAAUAACAAUAUCCCCAUUUUUUUCUUCAUCAUAGUAAAUGGAAACAGGGGCCGUUCAACCCAACAUUUUUUUUUUUUUCAGGAAAGACAUCUAAACUUUACUGAGUACCUGCUUUAUUCAUGUUUCAAAGAGAAAGUCUCCAUUGCGGGUACAUUUUCACUACAGACAACAAUGGUUUUUACUGCAUUUCAGUCUUCAAUUAGACAAAGCUGUCAUGUCUUAACUUUGCUGAAGACAAAGCUGCCAGUCCUGCUGUCUAAGAGUGAUUUCAAGAUCACCACCAGAUGCAAACAUAAUAGCCUUCCAAAGAAAUCUUCACCAGUUCCAACGAUUUUGGAAGGUCUAAUCUGUAAUAAGCCCCUUCUACCAUAUCCUUCCUAGUGGUCCUGCUUCCUUGAUUAAAUCCUAAUGGAUGUGCUACAUGUUACUCGAUGCCUACUUGGCCUCUCAAAUGUAGCACAUUCACAACUGAAUUCCUGAUAUUACUUCUACCACAAACUUGCUCUUCUCAUGUUCUCCAGCACAUUAAAAGCAACGUUUUUCUUCCUUUUAUUCAAACCAAACAUCUUGGAGUCAUCCUUGAUGCCUCUCUUUCACCCGCAUUCAUAUUAUUUAUUUUAGUAACAUCUUUAAAAUAUAUUAUUCCAUCCUCUACCUGGCACUUUACUCUGGCCUAAGUAAGUCAUGUCUCACUGGCAUAAUUACAUUAGUUUUGCUAUGUGUCUUCUUGUUUCUGAUCCUGCUCCUAAAUCUAUUACCCAUUCACCUGACAGACUGAGUCUGUUACAAAAUAAAUAAGGUAAUGUCACUUCUUUGUUCAGGAAUUUUCAAGGUUUUCAAUCUCAGUUGGAGUAAAAGGUUAAGUUCUCAUGCUGAUUCAAAAGACCCUACUUCAUCUGGUGCCACCAUUAUCUUUUCUUAUUGUCUCUCCUCCUCUUCCUCCUCCUUCUCUCUCUCUCUCUCUCUCUCUCUCUCUCUCUGUCUCUCUCUCUCUCUCUCUCUCUCUCUGUCUCUCUCUCUCUGGAUCACCUGUUCUAUCAACAUUGACCUCCUCCUCAAACCAGGGAUUCUCCUGCCUCCAGAUGUUCAUGCUUGCUUUUUCCUCUGCUAGAUGUGCUUUUCUACAGGAAAUCACAUGACUUGUCUUUCCCCUUCUUCCAGACUUGUUUUUUUAAUCCUUCCAGACUUGUUUUUUUAAUCCUUCCAGAAAACCAGCUUUAAAAUGACAACCCUACUCAUUCACAAAAUAUCUUCCUUUCUUGCUACAGACUUUUGUCCUUAGCACUUAGUUCUCAUUAUAAUACUAUAUAUAUGUUUUAUUUAUUUAUUUUUGUAUGUCAUCUACUAGACUAUUAAUUUGAUUAGGGUAAUUAUAUUGGCUGUUCUAUCCAACAGAUCCAAUAGUGUAACCCAAAUCCACGGUGCCAUGUCUUGCAAAUGGCAGGCUCUUAAUAAAUAUUUGUUGGAUAAGGGAAGGAAUGCCAAUGUGAAAAUUAAUACAGUGGCUAAAAUCAAAAGGAGUAAAACCUUAGAAAUUUCAUAUGGUUCAGUGUGACAGAUAAAAUGGCAUAGGUCUAGUACAGGAACUAGGCUACAAUAGCAGCCAUUAGUUCAGGACCUAAUGAAUGUAACAUGAGUGGCCUAAUGAAAUUAACCCUCCCAAAUCAAGUCUCUCCUCAGGCCUCUCUAUUCCCUGAGACACAACAAUAUUGAAAUCUGGGAAACUAAGAAUUGUACAGUGUCUUCCAAGUGUUCAAGUGAAAGGAAGAGUCACAUUUGUCUCACCUUAAAUCAAAAGCUAGAAAUGGGCUGAGCAUGGUGGUCCAUACCUGUAAUUACAGCAUUUUGGGAUACUAAAGCAGGAGUAUCACUUGAGGCCAAAAGUUUGAUAUCAGCCUGGGCAAUAUAGCCAGACUCUGUCUUUAGAAAACAAACAAAAAAUAGCUGGCAUGGUGAUGCACGCCUUUCAUCCUAGCUACUCUAGAGUCUGAGGUUGGAGGAUCACUUGACCACAGGAGGUCAAGGCUGCAGUGAGCCAAGACUUUGCCACUGCACUCUGGCCUGGGUGAAAAAGCAAGACACUGUCUCU